ACGAUACGUAGCCGACCUGAGAGGGUGAUCGGCCACACUGGAACUGAGACACGGUCCAGACUCCUACGGGAGGCAGCAGUAGGGAAUCUUCCGCAAUGGGCGAAAGCCUGACGGAGCAACGCCGCGUGAGUGAUGAAGGUCUUCGGAUCGUAAAGCUCUGUUGUUAGGGAAGAACAAAUGUGUAAGUAACUGUGCACAUCUUGACGGUACCUAACCAGAAAGCCACGGCUAACUACGUGCCAGCAGCCGCGGUAAUACGUAGGUGGCAAGCGUUAUCCGGAAUUAUUGGGCGUAAAGCGCGCGUAGGCGGUUUUUUAAGUCUGAUGUGAAAGCCCACGGCUCAACCGUGGAGGGUCAUUGGAAACUGGAAAACUUGAGUGCAGAAGAGGAAAGUGGAAUUCCAUGUGUAGCGGUGAAAUGCGCAGAGAUAUGGAGGAACACCAGUGGCGAAGGCGGCUUUCUGGUCUGCAACUGACGCUGAUGUGCGAAAGCGUGGGGAUCAAACAGGAUUAGAUACCCUGGUAGUCCACGCCGUAAACGAUGAGUGCUAAGUGUUAGGGGGUUUCCGCCCCUUAGUGCUGCAGCUAACGCAUUAAGCACUCCGCCUGGGGAGUACGGUCGCAAGACUGAAACUCAAAGGAAUUGACGGGGACCCGCACAAGCGGUGGAGCAUGUGGUUUAAUUCGAAGCAACGCGAAGAACCUUACCAAAUCUUGACAUCCUUUGACCGCUCUAGAGAUAGAGUUUUCCUCUUCGGAGGACAAAGUGACAGGUGGUGCAUGGUUGUCGUCAGCUCGUGUCGUGAGAUGUUGGGUUAAGUCCCGCAACGAGCGCAACCCUUGAACUUAGUUGCCAUCAUUCAGUUGGGCACUCUAAGUUGACUGCCGGUGACAAACCGGAGGAAGGUGGGGAUGACGUCAAAUCAUCAUGCCCCUUAUGAUUUGGGCUACACACGUGCUACAAUGGACAAUACAAAGGGCAGCGAAACCGCGAGGUCAAGCAAAUCCCAUAAAGUUGUUCUCAGUUCGGAUUGUAGUCUGCAACUCGACUACAUGAAGCUGGAAUCGCUAGUAAUCGUAGAUCAGCAUGCUACGGUGAAUACGUUCCCGGGUCUUGUACACACCGCCCGUCACACCACGAGAGUUUGUAACACCCGAAGCCGGUGGAGUAACCAUUUUGGAGCUAGCCGUCGAAGGUGGGACAAAUGAUUGGGGUGAAGUCGUAACAAGGUAGCCGUAUCGGAAGGUGCGGCUGGAUCACCUCCUUUCUA
rnacentral:rRNA from 1 species